GGCAUGAUGGUGCAAUGGGUAGCAAUGUUGCCUCACAGCCAGAAGGUCCUGGGUUUGAAUCCCGGCCUGGGCC
rnacentral:tRNA from 1 species